rnacentral:rRNA from 1 species
GACGUAGGGCGCGAGCGUUGUCCGGAUUUAUUGGGCGUAAAGAGCUCGUAGGCGGCUCAUUGCGUCAACCGUGAAAUCCUGCUGCUCAACGGCAGGUCUGCGGUUGAUACGGGUGGGCUGGAGUUCGGUAGGGGAGACUGGAAUUCCUGGUGUAGCGGUGAAAUGCGCAGAUAUCAGGAAGAACACCCGUGGCUAAGGCGGUUCUCUAGUACGGUACUGACGCUGAGACGCGAAAGCGUGGGGAGCGAACAGG